rnacentral:rRNA from 1 species
UACGUAGGGGGCAAGCGUUGUCCGGAAUCAUUGGGCGUAAAGAGCGUGUAGGCGGCCUGAUAAGUCGGCUGUGAAAGUCAAGGGCUCAACCCUUGAAUGCCGGCCGAUACUGUCAGGCUAGAGUCCGGAAGAGGCGAGUGGAAUUCCUGGUGUAGCGGUGAAAUGCGUAGAUAUCAGGAGGAACACCUGUGGUGUAGACGGCUUACUGGACCGCAACUGACGCUGAGACACGAAAGCGUGGGUAGCAAACAGG